rnacentral:rRNA from 1 species
AAAUUGAUUUUAUGCUUGCAUAAAUGAUUUUUGGAUUCGGAGCGAGUGGCGAACUGGUGAGUAACACGUGGGUAACCUGCCCCGAAGCGGGGGAUAACAUUUGGAAACAAGUGCUAAUACCGCAUAAUUAGUUGGAACCGCAUGGUUCCAACUUGAAAGAUGGCUCUGCUAUCACUUUGGGAUGGACCCGCGCCGUAUUAGUUAGUUGGUGAGAUAAAAGCCCACCAAGACGAUGAUACGUAGCCGACCUGAGAGGGUAAUCGGCCACAUUGGGACUGAGACACGGCCCAGACUCCUACGGGAGGCAGCAGUAGGGAAUCUUCCACAAUGGACGAAAGUCUGAUGGAGCAACGCCGCGUGAGUGAUGAAGGUUUUCGGAUCGUAAAACUCUGUUGUUAAAGAAGAACAAGUGUUAGAGUAACUGUUAACACUUUGACGGUAUUUAACCAGAAAGCCACGGCUAACUACGUGCCAGCAGCCGCGGUAAUACGUAGGUGGCAAGCGUUGUCCGGAUUUAUUGGGCGUAAAGCGAGCGCAGGCGGUUUUGUAAGUCUGCUGUGAAAGCCCUCAGCUCAACUGAGGAAGUGCAGUGGAAACUACAAAACUUGAGUACAGAAGAGGAAAGUGGAACUCCAUGUGUAGCGGUGAAAUGCGUAGAUAUAUGGAAGAACACCAGUGGCGAAGGCGGCUUUCUGGUCUGUUACUGACGCUGAGGCUCGAAAGCAUGGGUAGCGAACAGGAUUAGAUACCCUGGUAGUCCAUGCCGUAAACGAUGAAUACUAGGUGUUGGAGGGUUUCCGCCCUUCAGUGCCGCAGCUAACGCAUUAAGUAUUCCGCCUGGGGAGUACGACCGCAAGGUUGAAACUCAAAGGAAUUGACGGGGGCCCGCACAAGUGGUGGAGCAUGUGGUUUAAUUCGAUGCUACGCGAAGAACCUUACCAGCUCUUGACAUCUUCUGCCAACCCAAGAGAUUGGGCGUUCCCUUCGGGGACAGAAUGACAGGUGGUGCAUGGUUGUCGUCAGCUCGUGUCGUGAGAUGUUGGGUAAGUCCCGCAACGAGCGCAACCCUUAUUAUUAGUUGCCAGCAUUUAGUUGGGCACUCUAGUGAGACUGCCGGUGAUAAACCGGAGGAAGGUGGGGACGACGUCAAAUCAUCAUGCCCCUUAUGAGCUGGGCUACACACGUGCUACAAUGGAUGGUACAACGAGUCGCGAAACCGCGAGGUCAAGCUAAUCUCUUAAAGCCAUUCUCAGUUCGGAUUGCAGGCUGCAACUCGCCUGCAUGAAGUUGGAAUCACUAGUAAUCGUGGAUCAGCAUGCCACGGUGAAUACGUUCCCGGGCCUUGUACACACCGCCCGUCACACCAUGAGAGUUUGUAACACCCAAAGAC